AGCCGUUCUGUAAUUCCAUGAUCCUGUUGAAAGGUGCUUAAUUUGCCUUUCCAGGCUCGGCCUGGCUGUGCCGGGCUGCAGGGAAAGGGUCGGUGCGGUUCGGGGCCGGGGCUGGGGCUGGGGCUGUGUCCGGGUGCGCUGCGGUGGCACCUGGGCUGGAGGGUGCAGGUUUCUCGCCAGUGUUUCGCCUUUUAAAAUUAGUAUUAGAUUUAAGAUCAUUGCUGCAUGUCUGCUAACAGGGGCUGCUGUAAACUUAGCAGAGAAAUGCCCUAACGUUGCUAAGCUGCAUUUCAUUUUUAAUUUCAACAGGUGGUUUGAGCAGUCAUUUAUGGCAUAAUUUUUCUCAUGCAGGACCCUCACUUCUUGCAGAUGGUCGUAAAAUCUGCAGACAUCCCUAGGGCUGGAAUCUGAAUGUCAUUGCUCCCCAGACUUUGGCUAAGACACUCAAAAUCACGAAGUGGAUUUUAACUCUUUGGUUUUUGUCUUUUCACAGAUUCACAGACUGUUGGACUAAGUUGGAAGGGAACCACAAGGAUCCUUGAGUAAAAGACAUUUACUCUUAAGUAAAUGUCCCAUAUAGGGAUAGCACCCACCACCAUAGUGCUACUAGCACCAUGUUCUAACCUACUGCAACUACAGAAAAUUAACAGAUUUAACUACUAAUACCGAUGUGUUCUCUCAAUGAAUCUGCACAUCACCAUGAGGACAUCACAGCAUCCCACCUGUAUGCUGCUCUGCUUCAGGAUUUUGAAGCCCAAAUUGCCUGGUCUGGUGGAAAUAUUUCUGAUGGAGCUAUGUAAGUGCAAGCUCUGCCAUUUCACAAGCAGGAUCAAAAGUAAGAUCAGGAUGCACCUGGUUCAAAUGCGUGAAACUGAUAUGGUGCGUGGAAUUUCAGGCUGCCCUGAAAUGGACCAUGGUAAAAAUGAAUUAUGUAGCAUUGGAGAUGAAAAGAAUGAAAACAAAGAAAACCUUGCAAAAAGUUACUGUCUUGUUGCCUGUGUAUCAGAUACCUUAAAAUAAGAGUCCUUGCUGUUGUGACAUGAGCUCAAGCAUAAUCCUCAUGCAUCUCACUCCUGCGAAAGGAACACCUUGUUUGGAGAAGUAGCAGAUUAUUUUCAGUUUGAGGAACCCUGCACUGCUGACUUCCGUAUUCCAAGAGAAAGGACAGCUAAGCCCAGUCUGUGCUUCUUAGCAUCUGUCGUGUUUUCACUGUUAGAACCCAGACGCUUGCUGGGGAAAUUAAAAGCCCCUAAAGCUCAGUCAAGGUGUAAACAUCACAGGAAAAUCAGUUGAAAGCUGGAUCUAAAGGCUCUAUUCGCCCUGUGGAAGAUGCUUGUGCCUUAAAGCUGGCUUCUGAGAGAAAGCAGCAUUUCUGAAUGUGUGGGAUGUAGCAUUAGAGCUGAAUGAUGCUGAGAAAAUCCAUUUAAAGGAUUGUGACAUGGAUCAUGACUUUAAAUGUGUUUGUUGUCACAUGACAGAGUAGAUCUUAAUGGAAAAUCACUGAAAAUCACACAUGUGGAUAAAAGAAACCUACCAGUGCUUCAUCUGUGAAAGUGCUUUUAUAUCACUUUAUAAAGUGCCUGGAAAGUGCGCAGAAACAGCCAUCAGAGGAAACCUCAUCUCAUUGCACAUCAUCUGAAACUGAGCAGAUAAGCAAUCUUCAUGUAGCUUGCUUGGCAGUACCAGGAUACAGUUAUGUGCCCACGCAGUGAUUUUACCAGUCCUGUGGCAUACAGACCCUUUAGAGUUAUGGGCUUCAGCUCCAUCACAACAUCCAUACAUGUAUUGGUGGUGUCUUGACUGAACCACGCUGGUGUACACUGAAUUGGAGAGUCAGAGACUCCAGAAUCCAGCAGUAUUUGUAAUCUGAUGCCUGCUGUAUCAUCACAUUAAAAGCAAUGGGCAAUUUAGUAAAUAAGGCUCAGUGACACUGGGU